rnacentral:rRNA from 1 species
GAACGCUGGCGGCACGCCUAACACAUGCAAGUCGAACGGAGAAUACUUAGCUUGCUUGUAUUCUUAGUGGCGGACGGGUGAGUAACACGUGAGCAACCUGCCUCUGAGAGAGGGAUAGCUUCUGGAAACGGAUGGUAAUACCUCAUAACAUUACAUGACCGCAUGAUCGUGUAAUCAAAGGUUUAUCACUCAGAGAUGGGCUCGCGUCUGAUUAGCUAGUUGGUGAGGUAACGGCUCACCAAGGCGACGAUCAGUAGCCGGACUGAGAGGUUGAACGGCCACAUUGGGACUGAGACACGGCCCAGACUCCUACGGGAGGCAGCAGUGAGGGAUAUUGCACAAUGGGGGAAACCCUGAAUGCAGCGAUGCCGCGUGGAGGAAGAAGGUUUUCGGAUUGUAAACUCCUGUUUCGAGGGACGAUAAUGACGGUACCUCGGGAGGAAGCUCCGGCUAACUACGUGCCAGCAGCCGC